CUGUCUCUCUCUCUCCCCUCCCCCGUGUGUAUCGAAGGAGCAGACAACCAUAUCGGGAGAUUGUAAUAAAGGACUAUGCUGGGGGAAAGGCAGAAGAAUCAAGUUUGGUGUGAUAACCCUGCCUGGACAAGAGACAUUUUCUGCCUACAUAACAUGUAAGUUCAUAUCCAUUGUCUAUAAUGCAGUGAACUCAACAGGAUCCGAG